CACACUAAAAGAACUGAACCUGAGUAUCAGAAAAAUGCCCUGGCUGAUUUUCAUGCAAUGACAGCAGCAACAGAAUCUAUAAAGAUUGUAGCACACAUAGAUGAAGUCCAUUCUGCUUCUGCAAAAAUGACCCCUCAUUGCCAAACUUUUCCCAUCCUAAUGACCUUAUAAUAUACAAACAGUUUGCUCCUGAAUCAGAGAAAUUAAGUUGGGUAAACAAUGGCUGCAAAUUAAACAAACAGUGGGGGCUAUGAGAAAUCCAGUAUGGCCACUUGGCUCUUCCUGGAUCGCUGGCAAAUCCCAUUUUUCAGUUUUUGCCUUCCUUACACACCCUAGAAAAAAACUAUUUUUGUCCCUUGAGGCCUCAGAACUCCUCCGUCUGGGUCCCUUGAGCACCUGCAGCUGGACUUCAUUCUAUUCCCACUUAGUACAGGUCAUCAAUAUGUUCUUGUUAUUGUACGUAUGUUUUCUGGAUGGGCUGAAACCUUCUCUUGCUGCAAAACUUAUGCCCUCAAAACGACAAUAAACUGUUAGAAAAUUUUUUUCUCAUUUGGGGUACACCUUCCACAAUCUCCAGUGAUGAAGGCACCCAUUUCACUGGCCAAAUCAUACAAGCCUUAACAAAAAACUUGCAAACUUCUUGGGAUUAUCACUGUCCCUAUCACCCUCAAUCAUCAGAGAAGGUCAAGAGGACUAAUGAAAAAACUGAAUUCAAGCAGAACAAGAAUUAGUUACGUGGGAGUAAAUUAACUGGACACAAUUGGAAACAUUGGUUACAUUACCAAGGCUUUGACUGGAAUUUCAUAUUUGAGAGAGACAUGCAUAAACUUAGAUAUGACCGAACAGCUUUAAAGAACUAAGAUUGAUUCUAUGGAGCCGAUAAAACCCUUUGGAAAAGCAGCCUGGUGCCUUACUCACAGGGUUCCAAAUAACCUAACCAGAAUCAUUGAGAACUCAAGCUUCCCUUUUCCCUGAAGCCGUGCAAACUGAAGCUGAACAGUUUGAUAUAAACUUAAGAGAGAACCACAGUGGCCAGUGUUUAAACAAUCUUUAUGCCUGUUGCUGUGUAGACCACUCAGGUUUACCUGACACUAAUGACAUCAUCAGAGACAUUUAAAACUGAAAAAUAUACUUUUACCCUGACUUCUAGAAAAAUCCUUGACUGGCUGCCCCCUAGGCUCAGAAACUGGUUUGUAAUUUUCUCCAAACAUUAACCUUUGUUUUUCUUUGUUUCCAUAGAAAUGCCUUCUAUUAAAUAACUAAUUGCUUGCGCCAUAAAACUAACUUUGGAAGCCCAUCUGCAUCACCACCUCCUGAAAUGAGAUACGACUAUUUAACUAAACUGGCCAAGUCAAUGAAAUAAUAGAACAAGCUACUAGCUCAACUUUUACUAUGUGAAACGUUCAGGGAAGUUUCAGAGGAGGGAACUAUUGUGGCCCAGGGCAGGCCAGCUCAAAAUAUCCCACAAUAGUAUUUUGAUUAUUUUGAAUUAAGCUUACUUGAGAAGCAGCCAAUCACAAAGGGCAUUUCCCCCUUCUCUCUCUGUUCCCCCUGAAAGCAGGAAAUAAGUCUCCCAUGUGAAAGGUACCCUCUCCACACCAGGAGACAGAGACAUCCUUAUCACCAGGGCUAGGGAAGUCAGGUCAAGA
ensembl:lncRNA